rnacentral:lncRNA from 1 species
UGAGGAAGGGCUGCUGAGUGAAGGUCACAGUGCAAGAACAAUUCCACAGCGCUUGUCCCAAUCAGGGAACCUUUAAGGAACAAGAUAUCGGAUGGCAAUUUUGUAUUUUCCUUUUUAGGAGAUGACCCAGGAAAAUGGAUGCUCAGAAAUCAAAAAGAAGCUUGAGACUGCAUGGAAAAAUCACUAGUGAAUUAAAAUCUUAUUUCUGUUUUUUUCAAUCCUGUCUGUUUCCUAAGAAAAAGCUGGUGCCGGAAUGAACGCGUAUCUUUUUGUUGUUGUUUUGACACUGACAAAAAUUCCUUUUGCAGAUGGCUACUGAGGCUUCAAAGGGGCAAUGUAUCAUGCAAAUAAUUUUUUUCAGCUAUGACGUGUACAGUUCAGUUUGAUUUAUUUUUGAUGUCAGAAACAAAAUGGAAAGUUAGCGCUUUAAAAAUGAGCAUGGCU